UACGGAGGAGGCAAGCGUUAUCCGGAAUUAUUGGGCGUAAAGCGUCCGCAGGUGGUUAUCCAAGUCUGCUGUUAAAGCGCGAGGCUUAACUUCGUACAGGCAGUGGAAACUGGGUGACUGGAGUAUGGUAGGGGUAGCGGGAAUUCCCAGUGUAGCGGUGAAAUGCGUAGAUAUUGGGAUGAACACCAGCGGCGAAAGCGCGCUACUGGGCCAUUACUGACACUCAUGGACGAAAGCUAGGGGAGCGAAAGGG
rnacentral:rRNA from 1 species